AGUGGGAUUUCUGGGUCAUAUGGAAAGUAUAUAUUUAACUUUAAAGGAAACUACUGAGCCCUUUUCCAGAGUAACUAUCAUUUUUCAUUCCUAUUAGCGAU
rnacentral:pre_miRNA from 1 species